CCUCUCCCCCAAUUCCCACCUCUCCCGUGCUGCUCCUCUCUCCCAAUCCCCACCCCUCCUGUGCUGCUCCUCUCCCCCAAUCCCCUGCUGCUACUACUCCUCCCCAAUCCCCUACCUCCACUCCAUCUCCGGCGAGCCGCCGUCAGACGCGUCUUCUAGCUCGCGCAGCUCUUUCCCUCUUGCAACCACAACCUCCCAUGCGGAUCCCCAAGCAGCGUCAUGGCGACGUUGGUUGAUGGUGCCGGGCGGAGCAUGCUGUGGGCGAGCACAGGCGGUCGCCAUCGGAGGGAGGAGCGAAAGGCCGCUGCUGCCUAUCUCCAUCUGAUGCUGCCUCUGCUCUCGUCCUUCCCUCCUCCGUAGGGGCGGACGUUCGCCAUCGCCGCCGCGACCUCUGGCGAUCUCGUCAUGGCGAGGGCGGUUGGUGUUGCCGGGCGGAGCGCGAUGUGGAGGACGGGGGGCAUAUUGUUGGGCUCUCGGUGCUGAUUUAUUUGCCUUGACUUUUGUUUCUCAGGUUCAUUAUGUGGUCUCUGCUUGGAUCUCUUAGAAGCAUAUCAAUAUAUUACAGAGUUUCUUUGCUCGCACCUGAGGAUGAGAUAUCAGUAUUUCUUCUUUCUUCCAAGGGUCUACAGUAGGAGUUUAGGUGAACAUCUUUGUACAUCAGUAUAUUACAGGGUCUGCAGCAGGACUGCGUGGAUCUGCUAGGUUGAACCCAUAUAACAUGUUAGAGAGGUAGAGGGAAAGAGCCCCUAUUCAUAGCCGCAAUUUGCAUUGUAACUCUCAGAGAUAAAUUGAGAGUGAGUAUGAAGGAAGAAUUCGUGUUAAUCCCUAGAGCUAUGAAGUAUUCUCUUUCAUUUCCUGGUCAUAUUGCUGGAUGUCAGUUGUCAGGUUCUCAAAUCUUUCGCAUCUGGACGUGCGACAUCUGUGGUGGCUGACAGGUUGGAUAUGUUUUUAUAGGGUAAUUUGGAUUUUUAUGCUACCGCUCUAUACUGAAGACUAUUUGGAUUUUGAUGUAUCCAAGCAAUACUCUUCGCUGCCCUCCUCUCGGUUAUUCAGAGGAUGGUGAUGCGAUCGUUGGUGCGAUAGCUUGGCUGUACUGACAAUUGGAAAACGAGGCCAUGGGUACAAACAUGGAAGCUAUCUAAGACCAGCCAUGAGGCGUUUUAUUUUGUUCAGGUUCAAGUUAAUGGCUGUUUUUCCAUCUGCAAGUAAAUGUGAUAAAUCAAGCGCGGGUCAUGCCGCAAGCUGAUCCCUUAUUUGUUAGUCGUGAGCACAAGUCUCACUGCUAUCUAAACAUCUUCUCCAUAUUAUUUAUUAGUCUCUAGG